UACAGGGGGGGCAAGCGUUGUUCGGAAUUACUGGGCGUAAAGGGCUCGUAGGCGGCCAACUAAGUCACACGUGAAAUCCCCAGGCUUAACCUGGGAACUGCGUGUGAUACUGGAUGGCUUGAAUCCGGGAGAGGGAUGCGGAAUUCCAGGUGUAGCGGUGAAAUGCGUAGAUAUCUGGAGGAACACCGGUGGCGAAGGCGGCAUCCUGGACCGGCAUUGACGCUGAGGCGCGAAAGCCAGGGGAGCAAACGGG
rnacentral:rRNA from 1 species